rnacentral:rRNA from 1 species
GACGAACGCUGGCGGCGUGCUUAACACACGCAAGUCGAACGGUGAAGCUCCAGCUUGCUGGAGUGGAUCAGUGGCGAACGGGUGAGUAACACGUGAGCAACCUGCCCCUGACUCUGGAAUAAGCGCUGGAAACGGCGUCUAAUACUGGAUACGAGAAGGGUCCGCAUGGGCACUUUCUGGAAAGUUUUUCGGUUGGGGAUGGGCUCGCGGCCUAUCAGCUUGUUGGUGAGGUAAUGGCUCACCAAGGCGACGACGGGUAGCCGGCCUGAGAGGGCGACCGGCCACACUGGGACUGAGACACGGCCCAGACUCCUACGGGAGGCAGCAGUGGGGAAUAUUGCACAAUGGGCGAAAGCCUGAUGCAGCGACGCCGCGUGAGGGAUGACGGCCUUCGGGUUGUAAACCUCUUUCAGCAGGGAAGAAGCGAAAGUGACGGUACCUGCAGAAGAAGCACCGGCUAACUACGUG